UAGAGUUUGAUCCUGGCUCAGAUUGAACGCUGGCGGCAGGCCUAACACAUGCAAGUCGAGCGGUAGCACAAGAGAGCUUGCUCUCUGGGUGACGAGCGGCGGACGGGUGAGUAAUGUCUGGGAAACUGCCUGAUGGAGGGGGAUAACUACUGGAAACGGUAGCUAAUACCGCAUAACGUCUACGGACCAAAGUGGGGGACCUUCGGGCCUCACGCCAUCAGAUGUGCCCAGAUGGGAUUAGCUAGUAGGUGGGGUAAUGGCUCACCUAGGCGACGAUCCCUAGCUGGUCUGAGAGGAUGACCAGCCACACUGGAACUGAGACACGGUCCAGACUCCUACGGGAGGCAGCAGUGGGGAAUAUUGCACAAUGGGCGCAAGCCUGAUGCAGCCAUGCCGCGUGUGUGAAGAAGGCCUUAGGGUUGUAAAGCACUUUCAGCGAGGAGGAAGGGUUCAGUGUUAAUAGCACUGUGCAUUGACGUUACUCGCAGAAGAAGCACCGGCUAACUCCGUGCCAACAGCCGCGGUAAUACGGAGGGUGCAAGCGUUAAUCGGAAUUACUGGGCGUAAAGCGCACGCAGGCGGUUUGUUAAGUCAGAUGUGAAAUCCCCGCGCUUAACGUGGGAACUGCAUUUGAAACUGGCAAGCUAGAGUCUUGUAGAGGGGGGUAGAAUUCCAGGUGUAGCGGUGAAAUGCGUAGAGAUCUGGAGGAAUACCGGUGGCGAAGGCGGCCCCCUGGACAAAGACUGACGCUCAGGUGCGAAAGCGUGGGGAGCAAACAGGAUUAGAUACCCUGUAGUCCACGCUGUAAACGAUGUCGAUUUGGAGGUUGUGCCCUUGAGGCGUGGCUUCCGGAGCUAACGCGUUAAAUCGACCGCCUGGGGAGUACGGCCGCAAGGUUAAAACUCAAAUGAAUUGACGGGGGCCCGCACAAGCGGUGGAGCAUGUGGUUUAAUUCGAUGCAACGCGAAGAACCUUACCUACUCUUGACAUCCAGAGAAUUCGCUAGAGAUAGCUUAGUGCCUUCGGGAACUCUGAGACAGGUGCUGCAUGGCUGUCGUCAGCUCGUGUUGUGAAAUGUUGGGUUAAGUCCCGCAACGAGCGCAACCCUUAUCCUUUGUUGCCAGCGAUUCGGUCGGGAACUCAAAGGAGACUGCCGGUGAUAAACCGGAGGAAGGUGGGGAUGACGUCAAGUCAUCAUGGCCCUUACGAGUAGGGCUACACACGUGCUACAAUGGCGUAUACAAAGAGAAGCGAACUCGCGAGAGCAAGCGGACCUCAUAAAGUACGUCGUAGUCCGGAUUGGAGUCUGCAACUCGACUCCAUGAAGUCGGAAUCGCUAGUAAUCGUAGAUCAGAAUGCUACGGUGAAUACGUUCCCGGGCCUUGUACACACCGCCCGUCACACCAUGGGAGUGGGUUGCAAAAGAAGUAGGUAGCUUAACCUUCGGGAGGGCGCUUACCACUUUGUGAUUCAUGACUGGGGUGAAGUCGUAACAAGGUAACCGUAGGGGAACCUGCGGGUGGAUCACCU
rnacentral:rRNA from 1 species